UACGUAGGGACCGAGCGUUGUCCGGAAUCAUUGGGCGUAAAGAGCGUGUAGGCGGCCACUUAAGUCCUGCGUGAAAUCUUGCGGCUCAACCGCAAGCGGUCGUGGGAAACUGGGUGGCUAGAGUGCGGGAGAGGAGAGUGGAAUUCCUGGUGUAGCGGUGGAAUGCGUAGAGAUCCGGAAGAACACCGGUGGCGAAGGCGGUCUGCUGGGCGGUGAACUCGCAAGAGUUCAAUAGCCGACACUGAGGCGCGACAGCGUGGGGAGCAAACAGGG
rnacentral:rRNA from 1 species